UUAAGUGACGAUAGCUAGGAGAUACACCUGUACCCAUGCCGAACACAGUAGUUAAGCCCUAGAACGCCUGAAGUAGUUGGGGGUUGCCCC
rnacentral:rRNA from 1 species